GGAAUUCCUACUGCAAAGGUUUUUUUCCCCCUUUAAUUUUAGUUUUGAUUACCAUAUGGUGCAUGCUAAGAAAGUUAAUUGCUUGUGCUGAAUUCAACCAGCUGGGAAACAUAAUUUAGAUUUUACUGUGCUCAUAAAAGGGUCUUUGGUCAAACAAAUAUUUUUGAAGUCUUAAUUUUCUCUGCAUUCCUGUUUCUUUGUAGUAGAACCUCUCCUUUUGAUGUUCUAUUCUUUUGUUGCAGUACCAAAC
rnacentral:misc_RNA from 1 species